rnacentral:snoRNA from 1 species
AUGCCCUGGCAUGCCAAUUCUCUCUUUCUCAGUGUGUGUCUCAGAAACUAUGAGGAGGACAUGCAGUGUUCUUUUCUGAGUGUGACGCUGGCUGUUGGUGUUGCUUUGCUGCCAUUACCACUUGCAAUUGAUGAUCACUCUUGCUCUCCCUCGGGAGGGCUGGAGGAAGAGGACACAAGU